CCCGCUGAACUUAAGCAUAUCAAUAAGCGGAGGAAAAGAAACUAACAAGGAUUCCCUUAGUAACUGCGAGUGAAGUGGGAAAAGCUCAAAUUUAGAAUCUGGCAGUCACUUGGCUGUCCGAGUUGUAAUCUAGAGAAGUGUUGCCCGUGCUGGACCAUGUACAAGUCUCCUGGAAUGGAGCAUCACAGAGGGUGAGAAUCCUGUCUUUGACAUGGACUGCCAGUGCUUUUGUGGUACGCUCUCAAAGAGUCGAGUUGUUUGGGAAUGCAGCUCANAACGGGUGGUAAAUGCCAUCUAAAGCUAAAUAUUGGCGAGAGACCGAUAGUGAACAAGUACCGUGAGGGAAAGAUGAAAAGAACUUUGGAAAGAUACUUAAACAGUACGUGAAAUUGCUGAAAGGGAAACGCUUGAAGUCAGUCACGUUGACUUGGAAUCAGCUCUGCUUUUGCUGGGUGUACUUUCUUGUCAAUGGGUCAGCAUCAAUUUUGACCAUUGGAUAAAGUUGCUGGGAAUGUAGCAUCCUUUAGGAUGUGUUAUAGCCUGGUGAUGCAUACAGUGGUUGGGAUUGAGGAAUUCAGCACGCCGUCAGGCCGGGUUUUGACCACGUUCGUGCUUAGGAUGUUGGUAUAAUGGCUAUAAUUGACCCGUCAUGACACACGGAACGCGUGAAUGAGCUGCAUGCUCAAUACAACUCGCCUCCUUAAGUAGCCAUG
rnacentral:rRNA from 1 species